UACGUAGGGUGCGAGCGUUGUCCGGAAUUAUUGGGCGUAAAGAGCUCGUAGGCGGCCUGUCGCGUCGGAUGUGAAAGCCCGGGGCUUAACCCCGGGUCUGCAUUCGAUACGGGCUGGCUGGAGUGUGGUAGGGGAGAUCGGAAUUCCUGGUGUAGCGGUGAAAUGCGCAGAUAUCGGGAGGAACACCGGUGGCGAAGGCGGUUCUCUGGGCCUUACCUGACGCUGAGGAGCGAAAGCGUGGGGAGCGAACAGG
rnacentral:rRNA from 1 species